UGGGGAAUUUUGGACAAUGGGCGCAAGCCUGAUCCAGCCAUGCCGCGUGCGGGAAGAAGGCCUUCGGGUUGUAAACCGCUUUUGUCAGGGAAGAAAUCUUCUGAGUUAAUACCUCGGGAGGAUGACGGUACCUGAAGAAUAAGCACCGGCUAACUACGUGCCAGCAGCCGCGGUAAUACGUAGGGUGCAAGCGUUAAUCGGAAUUACUGGGCGUAAAGCGUGCGCAGGCGGUUUUGUAAGACAGAGGUGAAAUCCCCGGGCUCAACCUGGGAACUGCCUUUGUGACUGCAAGGCUUGAGUGCGGCAGAGGGGGAUGGAAUUCCGCGUGUAGCAGUGAAAUGCGUAGAUAUGCGGAGGAACACCGAUGGCGAAGGCAAUCCCCUGGGCCUGCACUGACGCUCAUGCACGAAAGCGUGGGGAGCAAACAGGAUUAGAUACCCUGGUAGUCCACGCCCUAAACGAUGAGUACUAGGUGUAGGAGGUAU
rnacentral:rRNA from 1 species